GAUGAAGAACGCAGCGAAAUGCGAUAAGUAAUGUGAAUUGCAGAAUUCAGUGAAUCAUCGAAUCUUUGAACGCACAUUGCGCCCCCUGGUAUUCCGGGGGGCAUGCCUGUUCGAGCGUCAUUUCACCACUCAAGCCUCGCUUGGUAUUGGGCAACGCGGUCCGCCGCGUGCCUCAAAUCGACCGGCUGGGUCUUCUGUCCCCUAAGCGUUGUGGAAACUAUUCGCUAAAGGGUGUUCGGGAGGCUACGCCGUAAAACAACCCCAUUUCUAAGGUUGACCUCGAUCAGGUAGGGAUACCCGCUGAACUUAAGCAUAUCAAUAAGCGGAGGA
rnacentral:misc_RNA from 1 species